UACGUAGGGUGCAAGCGUUGUCCGGAAUUAUUGGGCGUAAAGAGCUCGUAGGCGGUUUGUCGCGUCUGCUGUGAAAACUCGGGGCUUAACCCCGGGCCUGCAGUGGGUACGGGCAGACUAGAGUGCGGUAGGGGAGACUGGAAUUCCUGGUGUAGCGGUGAAAUUCGCAGAUAUCAGGAGGAACACCGGUGGCGAAGGCGGGUCUCUGGGCCGUAACUGACGCUGAGGAGCGAAAGCGUGGGGAGCGAACAGG
rnacentral:rRNA from 1 species